GAGUUUGAUCGUGGCUCAGAACGAACGCUGGCGGCAUGCCUAACACAUGCAAGUCGAACGAGACCUUCGGGUCUAGUGGCGCACGGGUGCGUAACGCGUGGGAAUCUGCCCUUGGGUUCGGAAUAACAGUUAGAAAUGACUGCUAAUACCGGAUGAUGACUUCGGUCCAAAGAUUUAUCGCCCAGGGAUGAGCCCGCGUCGGAUUAGCUUGUUGGUGAGGUAAAAGCUCACCAAGGCGACGAUCCGUAGCUGGUCUGAGAGGAUGAUCAGCCACACUGGGACUGAGACACGGCCCAGACUCCUACGGGAGGCAGCAGUGGGGAAUAUUGGACAAUGGGCGGAAGCCUGAUCCAGCAAUGCCGCGUGAGUGAUGAAGGCCUUAGGGUUGUAAAGCUCUUUUUACCCGGGAAGAUAAUGACUGUACCGGGAGAAUAAGCUCCGGCUAACUCCGUGCCAGCAGCCGCCGUAAC
rnacentral:rRNA from 1 species